rnacentral:rRNA from 1 species
GAUAAACGCUGGCGGCGUGCCUAACACAUGCAAGUCGAACGAUCCCGCAAGGGAGAGUGGCGGAAGGGUGAGUAACACGUGGGAAUCUACCUCCUCGCAGGGAACAACCUCUCGAAAGAGAGGCUAAUACCCAAAAGGGUCAGAAAUGAUCAGAGUCGAAAGGCGUGAGGAGAGGAGCCCGCGGCCCAUCAGCUAGUUGGUGAGGUAAUGGCUUACCAAGGCUACGACGGGUAGGGGAUCUGAGAGGAUGUCCCCCACACUGGAACUGAAACACGGUCCAGACGCCUACGGGUGGCAGCAGUGAGGAAUAUUGGACAAUGGGCGAAAGCCCGAUCCAGCAACGCCGCGUGGAGGAUGAAGGCCUUCGGGUCGGUAAACUUCUUUAGAGGGAGACGAGAAAGGACGGUAUCCCUAGAAUAAGCGACGGCAAACUACGUGCCAGCAGCCG